UACGUAGGGGGGCAAGCGUUUGUCCGGAUUUAUUGGGCGUAAAGCGCUCGCAGGCGGCUUGCUACGUCGUGCGUGAAACACCCCGGCUCAACUGGGGAGGGUCGUGCGAUACGGGCAGGCUGGAGGCCAGUAGGGGGGAUGCGGAAUUCCGGGUGUAGUGGUGGAAUGCGUAGAGAUCCGGAGGAACACCAGCGGCGAAGGCGGCAUCCUGGACUGGUACUGACGCUCAGGAGCGAAAGCGUGGGGAGCGAUCCGG
rnacentral:rRNA from 1 species